rnacentral:misc_RNA from 1 species
GCUGUCCCCUUUUUCCCCCUUUUGGCAGAGUCUCAGAGCAACAACAGCUCCCCAUUCCUUGUUACUGUUGCCUCGAAAAGGAACUAAUAGAUUGAAAAAUCCAACGGAUUUUACCUCUAAAUCAAUGUGGUUUUUGAGUUUGGUUAUGAGGCAAUAGUAGUUUUACACUUGAAAAUUUUCAAACGAUUCUCUAAUCCUUGGUUCCGAGGAAAUCUCUAUUCGUAGCUAGUUUUGAACUUCUUGAUCUGCUGUUCGUGUUCGAAUUGCGUGGUAAAAGAAUUGCCGCUCACAAGGUCCAAAGGCAACCUAAGAUUUCUCUGCAACUAGUCGUCUAUGGCGGACUUGAGCAUUGCUUUUUUCUCUUUCCUCCUCCUUUUCUUCUCUCUAUCCCUCCUAGUUUUUCUCGCCUUCAUCGUCCGACCACGCCCCGUCAAAGUUCCAAUUAAAAAUCGCCAUGUCUUCAUCACUGGCGGCUCAAGCGGUAUUGGGUUAGCUCUAGCUCAACAGGCUGCUUCAGAAGGUGCAAAAGUUUCAAUACUUGCUCGUAACACUGGUAGACUCAAAGAGGCGAAGGAGUCAAUUCGGCUUUCUACUGGCCGUGAUGUGGCCAUUUUCAGCGCUGAUGUGAGAGAUUACAAGGCUGUCAAGAAGGCUGUAGAAGAGGCAGGACCAAUCGAUGUGUUGGUGUGCAAUCAGGGAGUUUUUGUACCUCAGGAAUUGGAGACCCAAGAUAUUGAGGAAAUCAAGUUCAUGAUUGAUGUCAACUUGACUGGGACUUUUCAUUUGAUUAAAGCUGCUUUGCCUGGAAUGAGGAACAGGUCUAACCGUGGACCUGGGUCCAUUGCUAUCAUGUCUUCACAAG